rnacentral:rRNA from 1 species
UACGUAGGGGGCAAGCGUUGUCCGGAAUCAUUGGGCGUAAAGCGCGCGUAGGCGGCCCGGUGAGUCCGCUGUAAAAGUCAAAGGCUCAACCUUUGAAAGCCGGUGGAAACUGUCGGGCUAGAGUGCGGAAGAGGCGAGUGGAAUUCCUGGUGUAGCGGUGAAAUGCGCAGAUAUCAGGAGGAACACCAAUUGCGAAGGCAGCUCGCUGGGACGUUACUGACGCUGAGACGCGAAAGCGUGGGGAGCAAACAGG